rnacentral:rRNA from 1 species
UACGGAGGGUGCAAGCGUUAUCCGGAUUCACUGGGUUUAAAGGGUGCGUAGGUGGGCAGGUAAGUCAGUGGUGAAAUCUCCGGGCUUAACUCGGAAACUGCCAUUGAUACUAUCUGUCUUGAAUACCGUGGAGGUCAGCAGAAUAUGUCAUGUAGCGGUGAAAUGCUUAGAUAUGACAUAGAACACCAAUUGCGAAGGCAGCUGGCUACACGAAUAUUGACACUGAUGCACGAAAGCGUGGGGAUCAAACAGG